AUUGAACGCUGGCGGCAGGCCUAACACAUGCAAGUCGAACGGUAACAGAAAGCAGCUUGCUGCUUUGCUGACGAGUGGCGGACGGGUGAGUAAUGUCUGGGAAACUGCUUGAUGGAGGGGGAUAACUACUGGAAACGGUAGCUAAUACCGCAUAACGUCGCAAGACCAAAGAGGGGGACUUUCGGGCCUCUUGCCAUCGGAUGUGCCCAGAUGGGAUUAGCUAGUAGGUGGGGUAAAGGCUCACCUAGGCGACGAUCCCUAGCUGGUCUGAGAGGGUGACCAGCCACACUGGAACUGAGACACGGUCCAGACUCCUACGGGAGGCAGCAGUGGGGAAUAUUGCACAAUGGGCGCAAGCCUGAUGCAGCCAUGCCGCGUGUAUGAAGAAGGCCUUCGGGUUGUAAAGUACUUUCAGCGGGGAGGAAGGGAGUAAAGUUAAUACCUUUGCUCAUUGACGUUACCCGCAGAAGAAGCACCGGCUAACUCCGUG
rnacentral:rRNA from 1 species